GUGGGGAAUAUUGGGCAAUGGGGGAAACCCUGACCCAGCAACGCCGCGUGAAGGAAGAAGGUCUUCGGAUCGUAAACUUCUAUCCUUGGUGAAGAUAAUGACGGUAGCCGAGAAGGAAGCCCCGGCUAACUACGUGCCAGCAGCCGCGGUAAUACGUAGGGGGCAAGCGUUGUCCGGAAUGAUUGGGCGUAAAGGGCGCGUAGGCGGCCUGGUAAGUCUGGAGUGAAAGUCCUGCUUUUAAGGUGGGAAUUGCUUUGGAUACUGUCGGGCUUGAGUGCAGGAGAGGUAAGUGGAAUUCCCGGUGUAGCGGUGAAAUGCGUAGAGAUCGGGAGGAACACCAGUGGCGAAGGCGACUUACUGGACUGUAACUGACGCUGAGGCGCGAAAGUGUGGGGAGCAAACAGGAUUAGAAACCCCAGUAGUCC
rnacentral:rRNA from 1 species